GAUCCAAUUUACGUCAGCAAUUAGUAGAAAAGCCACGUCAGCAAUUCGCAGUGUGUCCGUUACCGUCGAUGAUUAAAAUCAGAAAUUAGGGUUACGGAUCAUCGGCUUCUUCACCCCUUGCGUCGGUGCUCUGUUCAUCUCCCGUGGUGUGGACUUCGUAGUAUCGUAAUCUCACGGUUGAAGCACCUUACUAACCCUAAGAAUCGCUACCCCUCUCUCUCUCUCUCUCUGUCGUUGGCUAAUUCGCUCGCCAAACCCAUCUCUGAUACAGCUGUGAUGGAACCAGGACAGAACACAAGCGCAGCAGGGAUUGGUGGAAGCAACGGUACAACUACGAUGGGAUAUCAAACCAAUGAUGGAACUGCCACUGCGUCUGAAGAUUCAAAGGAGAAUCUGAACCAAGUCAUAAACUCGAUUCAGAAGACUUUGGGACUCCUUCAUCAGCUACACCUUACUGUCUCCUCUUUCACCCCCGCUUCUCAGCUUCAUCUCCUCCAGCGCCUCAAUUCUCUGGUGUCGGAGUUGAAUAGCAUGACUAAGUUGUCCGAGAAAUGCAACAUUCAAGUCCCCAUGGAAGUUCUAAGCUUGAUUGAUGAUGGGAAGAACCCGGACGAGUUUACAAGGGAUGUUAUUAAUAGCUGCGUUGCCAGGAAUCAAGUUACAAAGGGCAAGACUGAUGCUUUCAAGGAUUUGAGAAAACAUAUACUGGAGGAGCUUGAAGAGACUUUCCCUGAUGAAGUUGAUAAGUAUAGAGAGAUCCGUGCUGCUUCUGCCGCUGAAGCAAAACGGGUGGCUCAAUCGCAAAGUGUGUUACCCAAUGGGGAUGCCAAGGUCAAGAGCGAGCUAUAAGAAAGAAGCUACUGUUGUUCUUCUGUGGAUCUUCUUACCUUGUAGAGUAAAGUGUCUGAGUAGAUGAUGUAAACGAACAAGAUCACUUUGCAAUUUCUAUAUAAUAUCUGUUGUUUGUUUAUUCUUCCGUAAAACCCUCCCAACUUUAAUUUCUUGCAAAUCUACACUCAAAACUGCAAUUACUUACGUUUUAGUUAAUUACAAAAUUGGUUUGGUUC